UACGGAGGGUGCGAGCGUUGUCCGGAAUCACUGGGCGUAAAGGGCGCGUAGGCGGCGCGGAUAGUCGGCGGUGAAAGCGCGGGGCUCAACCCUGCGUCGGCCAUGAAUACUGCCGCGGCUGGAGCACUGUAGAGGCAGGCGGAAUUCCGGGUGUAGCGGUGGAAUGCGUAGAGAUCCGGAAGAACACCGGUGGCGAAGGCGGCCUGCUGGGCAGUUGCUGACACUGAGGCGCGACAGCGUGGGGAGCAAACAGG
rnacentral:rRNA from 1 species